rnacentral:sRNA from 1 species
CCACGGUCCCUCGACUUGCUUUUUGGUC